AUGCGAAAUUCUGGUGGUAUUUACACCUUUCGAGCACAUGGUCAGAUCUAUCACAGCAUACACUCAUUUGGUAAUAGUCGACCAGAUCCAAAGCAUGUGGAGCUAUACUUCUACGACAAUGAUCCAAGCUUAGAGCAUCGGUACUGCCGUUGCCGCGAGGAAAUGUACGAGCAAGACAAGCAUGUGAUCGGGAUAAUAACCAACAUCCUACGGGAUAACCCAUACUCUCAACAAUUUAGGAGUUUGGGACGAGCCCAAAACCUUGAGGACUACAGACUCGUCUUAAACCCGGACCAAAGAUUGGACCAGAGAACAUACAACGCGCCAAUAAAUUCGGAGGUAGCUGCAGUGUGGAUUGAAGGAAAUAAAAGAAGAGACACUUAUGACAGGAAUGUAAUACUACAUGGAAACUACAAUGAAAAAGAGCACAUUCGAUCAUAUUACGGGUGCUAUGAUCCGUUGUCGUACCCUCUAUUCUUUCCAAGAGCUGAGCUGGGUUGGCAUAGGAAAAUCCCAAAGAGGAAUACAAAAAAGGAAGAUAUUGGUGCUGAUAAUAUCAGUAAUGAUGAUGACCUAGGUAAAAUUUCAUAUACUAUUAUAUUCAAUAUUCAAUUUAACUAA
rnacentral:rRNA from 1 species